UUCGUAGGUCCCGAGCGUUAUCCGGAUUUAUUGGGCGUAAAGCGAGCGCAGGCGGUUUGAUAAGUCUGAAGUUAAAGGCUGUGGCUUAACCAUUGUACGCAUUGGAAACUGUUUAACUUGAGUGCAGAAGGGGAGAGUGGAAUUCCAUGUGUAGCGGUGAAAUGCGUAGAUAUAUGGAGGAACACCGGUGGCGAAAGCGGCUCUCUGGUCUGUAACUGACGCUGAGGCUCGAAAGCUUGGGGAGCAAACAGG
rnacentral:rRNA from 1 species